rnacentral:rRNA from 1 species
GCGGAGUAGACAACAGGGAUUGCCCUAGUAACGGCGAGUGAAGCGGCAACAGCUCAAAUUUGAAAUCUGGCCCCCUCGGGGUCCGAGUUGUAAUUUGCAGAGGGUGCUUUGGUGUUGGCUGUGGUCCAAGUUCCCUGGAACAGGACGUCGCAGAGGGUGAGAACCCCGUACGUGGCCGCCAGCCUUCGCCGUGUAAAGCCCCUUCGAAGAGUCGAGUUGUUUGGGAAUGCAGCUCUAAAUGGGAGGUAAAUUCCUUCUAAAGCUAAAUAUUGGCCAGAGACCGAUAGCGCACAAGUAGAGUGAUCGAAAGAUGAAAAGCACUUUGGAAAGAGAGUGAAACAGCACGUGAAAUUGUUGAAAGGGAAGCGCUUGGAGCCAGACGUGCCCGUAGUUGCUCAGCCGGGGUUUUCCCCGGUGCACUCUUCUGCGGGCAGGCCAGCAUCAGUUUGGGCGGUCGGACAAAAGCCUGCUAAACGUACCUCCCCCCGGGGAGGACUUAUAGGGUAGGUGGCAUACGACCAGCCCGGACUGAGGACCGCGCAUCUGCUAGGAUGCUGGCGUAAUGGCUGUAAGCGGCCCGUCUUGAAACACGGACCAAGGAGUCUAAAAUCUAUGCGAGUGUUUGGGUGUCAAGCCCGAGCGCGCAAUGAAAGUGAACGCAGGUGGGAACCCCUCGGGGUGCACCAUCGACCGAUCCUGAUG